UACGUAGGGGGCAAGCGUUGUCCGGAUUUAUUGGCGUAAAGAGCGUGUAGGCGGCCAGGUAGGUCCGUUGUGAAAACUCGAGGCUUAACCUCGAGACGUCGAUGGAAACCAUCUGGCUAGAGUCCGAAGAGGAGAGUGGAAUUCCUGGUGUAGCGGUGAAAUGCGCAGAUAUCAGAGGAACACCGGUGGCGAAGGGCGGGGGGUCUCUGGGGG
rnacentral:rRNA from 1 species